rnacentral:rRNA from 1 species
GACGAACCGUGCGAACGUUGUUCGGAAUCACUGGGCUUAAAGGGCGCGUAGGCGGUUCAUCAAGUCCGGGGUGAAAUCUUUCGGCUCAACCGGAAAAGUGCCUUGGAUACUGGUGGGGGAACUGGAGGGAGGUAGGGGCAGAUGGAACUUCCGGUGGAGCGGUGAAAUGCGUUGAUAUCGGAAGGAACGCCGGUGGCGAAAGCGAUCUGCUGGCCCUCUUCUGACGCUGAGGCGCGAAAGCUAGGGGAGCAAACGGGAUUAGAUACCCGGGUAGUCCCUGAA